UACAGAGAGUGCGAACGUUUGUUCGGAAUUACUGGGCUUAAAGCGCACGUAGGCGGCGCCGCAAGUGUUGGGUGAAAUCCCACGGCUUACCCGUGGAACUGCCUGGCAGACUGCGGUGCUAGAGGAUGGUAGGGGAGAGCGGAACUCCUGGUGGAGCGGUGAAAUGCGUAGAUAUCAGGAGGAACACCGGUGGCGAAGGCGGCUCUCUGGUCCAUGACUGACGCUGAGGUGACGAAAGCUAGGGGAGCAAACGGG
rnacentral:rRNA from 1 species